GUCGAGCGGUAGCACAGAGAGCUUGCUCUCGGGUGACGAGCGGCGGACGGGUGAGUAAUGUCUGGGAAACUGCCUGAUGGAGGGGGAUAACUACUGGAAACGGUAGCUAAUACCGCAUAACGUCGCAAGACCAAAGUGGGGGACCUUCGGGCCUCAUGCCAUCAGAUGUGCCCAGAUGGGAUUAGCUAGUAGGUGGGGUAAUGGCUCACCUAGGCGACGAUCCCUAGCUGGUCUGAGAGGAUGACCAGCCACACUGGAACUGAGACACGGUCCAGACUCCUACGGGAGGCAGCAGUGGGGAAUAUUGCACAAUGGGCGCAAGCCUGAUGCAGCCAUGCCGCGUGUGUGAAGAAGGCCUUCGGGUUGUAAAGCACUUUCAGCGGGGAGGAAGGCGUUAAGGUUAAUAACCUUAGCGAUUGACGUUACCCGCAGAAGAAGCACCGGCUAACUCCGUGCCAGCAGCCGCGGUAAUACGGAGGGUGCAAGCGUUAAUCGGAAUUACUGGGCGUAAAGCGCACGCAGGCGGUCUGUCAAGUCGGAUGUGAAAUCCCCGGGCUCAACCUGGGAACUGCAUUCGAAACUGGCAGGCUAGAGUCUUGUAGAGGGGGGUAGAAUUCCAGGUGUAGCGGUGAAAUGCGUAGAGAUCUGGAGGAAUACCGGUGGCGAAGGCGGCCCCCUGGACAAAGACUGACGCUCAGGUGCGAAAGCGUGGGGAGCAAACAGGAU
rnacentral:rRNA from 1 species